GUUUUGAAAAAGGUUUAGCUCUUUGCUUUUCCUACACAUGAAGAGCCAAAUUGCUUUCUUAAUAGAAGACCUAGUUGUUGCUGAUAUACAUAUAUAACUUUUGGUCCACAUUCUACCACUACUCACAAUGUCAAUAAGUGACAUUCCCAAAAACAGUAUAAGACCCACUAUUUCUAUAUUAUUUUUUUAUGAUUACUGCUAUUCA
rnacentral:misc_RNA from 1 species